UACGAGGGGGGCUAGCGUUGUUCGGAUUUACUGGGUGUAAAGGGAGUGUAGGCGGUUCGAUAAGUCAGAGGUGAAAUGCCCAUGCUUAACGUGGUGCUUUGCCUUUGAAACUGUCGGGCUUGAAUGUUGGAGAGGGUAAUGGAAUUCCAGGUGUAGCGGUGGAAUGCGUAGAUAUCUGGAAGAACACCAGUUGCGAAGGCGAUUACCUGGCCAAACAUUGACGCUGAGGCUCGAAAGCCGGGGGA
rnacentral:rRNA from 1 species